GCCCGUAUGGUCUAGUGGUAUGACGUUCGCCUCACACAUCACCAAAUGUGGUCGCGACAGGUCCCAGGUUCGAGCCCUGGUGUGGGCA